GGCUGAUCCUGAAGAUGGUGUUUCCUACGCCUCCAUCAGCUACACCAGGAAGACCAACAGUAAAGGCCGGGUUCUGGGUAAAGAUGGUGAUGAUGAAGAUGAUGCAGUGACCUACAGCAGCGUGAAAGCUUCCUCUUCUUCUGCUGGAGCCUCAGCUGAUCCCAGCGACCUCUACGCCACCGUCAACAAACCAAACAAAUAAGAGACCACAGUGUAGUUACAGCUCAUAUCAUUACAGCAGCUGCUACAGUAUCAC